AUGGNUAGUCCGUACGAGCGCACCCCUAUCCUUAGUUGCCAUCAGUUCGGCUGGGAACUCUAGGCCANUCUGCCGGUGACAAACCGGAGGAAGGUGGGGACGACGUCAAGUCAUCAUGGCCCUUAUGGGCAGGGCUACACACGUGCUACAAUGGCCGGUACAAAGGGCAGCGAAGCCGCAAGGUGAAGCGAAUCUCACAAAACCGGUCGUAGUCCGGAUUGCAGUCUGCAACUCGACUGCAUGAAGCUGGAAUCGCUAGUAAUCGUGGAUCAGAAUGCCGCGGUGAAUACGUUCCCGGGCCUUGUACACACCGCCCGUCACACCAUGGGAGUGGGCUGUACCAGAAGUAGGUAGUCUAACCUUCGGGAGGACGCUUACCACGGUGUGGUUCAUGACUGGGGUGAAGUCGUAACAAGGUAGCCCUAGGGGAACCUGGGGCUGGAUCACCUCCUU
rnacentral:rRNA from 1 species